rnacentral:tRNA from 1 species
GCAUUCGUUGUGUAGUGGUCAGCACACUCGACGCGUAUUCGAGAGGUCAGUGGUUCGAAUCCCGGCGAAGGCU